UGGGGAAUCUUGGACAAUGGGCGCAAGCCUGAUCCAGCCAUGCCGCGUGAGCGAUGAAGGCCUUAGGGUUGUAAAGCUCUUUCACCGGUGAAGAUAAUGACGGUAGCCGGAGAAGAAGCCCCGGCUAACUCCGUGCCAGCAGCCGCGGUAAUACGGAGGGGGCUAGCGUUGUUCGGAAUUACUGGGCGUAAAGCGCGCGUAGGCGGGCUGUUAAGUCGGGGGUGAAAUCCCGGGGCUCAACCCCGGAACUGCCCUCGAUACUGGCAGCCUAGAGAUCGAGAGAGGCGAGUGGAAUACCGAGUGUAGAGGUGAAAUUCGUAGAUAUUCGGUGGAACACCAGUGGCGAAGGCGGCUCGCUGGCUCGAUACUGACGCUGAGGUGCGAAAGCGUGGGGAGCAAACAGGAUUAGAUACCCCCGUAGUCC
rnacentral:rRNA from 1 species